rnacentral:rRNA from 1 species
CCCGAGGAAAAGAAAUCAACCGAGAUUCCCCCAGUAGCGGCGAGCGAACGGGGAGGAGCCCAGAGCCUGAAUCAGCAUGUGUGUUAGUGGAAGCGUCUGGAAAGGCGCGCGAUACAGGGUGACAGCCCCGUACACAAAAGCGCAUGUGCUGUGAGCUCGAUGAGUAGGGCGGGACACGUGGUAUCCUGUCUGAAUAUGGGGGGACCAUCCUCCAAGGCUAAAUACUCCUGACUGACCGAUAGUGAACCAGUACCGUGAGGGAAAGGCGAAAAGAACCCCGGCGAGGGGAGUGAAAAAGAACCUGAAACCGUGUACGUACAAGCAGUGGGAGCACAGGUUUACCUGUGUGACUGCGUACCUUUUGUAUAAUGGGUCAGCGACUUAUAUUCUGUAGCAAGGUUAACCGUAUAGGGGAGCCGGAGGGAAACCGAGUCUUAACCGGGCGUUAAGUUGCAGGGUAUAGACCCGAAACCCGGUGAUCUAGCCAUGGGCAGGUUGAAGGUUGGGUAACACUAACUGGAGGACCGAACCGACUAAUGUUGAAAAAUUAGCGGAUGACCUGUGGCUGGGGGUGAAAGGCCAAUCAAACCGGGAGAUAGCUGGUUCUCCCCGAAAGCUAUUUAGGUAGCGCCUCGUGAAUUCAUCUCCGGGGGUAGAGCACUGUUUCGGCUAGGGGGCCAUCCCGGCUUACCAACCCGAUGCAAACUGCGAAUACCGGAGAAUGUUAUCACGGGAGACACACGGCGGGUGCUAACGUCCGUCGUGAAGAGGGAAACAACCCAGACCGCCAGCUAAGGUCCCAAAGUCAUGGUUAAGUGGGAAACGAUGUGGGAAGGCCCAGACAGCCAGGAUGUUGGCUUAGAAGCAGCCAUCAUUUAAAGAAAGCGUAAUAGCUCACUGGUCGAGUCGGCCUGCGCGGAAGAUGUAACGGGGCUAAACCAUGCACCGAAGCUGCGGCAGCGACACUCAGGUGUUGUUGGGUAGGGGAGCGUUCUGUAAGCCUGUGAAGGUGGCCUGUGAGGGUUGCUGGAGGUAUCAGAAGUGCGAAUGCUGACAUAAGUAACGAUAAAGCGGGUGAAAAGCCCGCUCGCCGGAAGACCAAGGGUUCCUGUCCAACGUUAAUCGGGGCAGGGUGAGUCGACCCCUAAGGCGAGGCCGAAAGGCGUAGUCGAUGGGAAACGGGUUAAUAUUCCCGUACUUGGUGUUACUGCGAAGGGGGGGACGGAGAAGGCUAUGUUGGCCGGGCGACGGUUGUCCCGGUUUAAGCGUGUAGGUGUGUGUUCCAGGUAAAUCCGGUUCACUUUAACACUGAGGCGUGACGACGAGGCACUACGGUGCUGAAGCAACAAAUGCCCUGCUUCCAGGAAAAGCCUCUAAGCAUCAGGUAACAUCAAAUCGUACCCCAAACCGACACAGGUGGUCAGGUAGAGAAUACCAAGGCGCUUGAGAGAACUCGGGUGAAGGAACUAGGCAAAAUGGUGCCGUAACUUCGGGAGAAGGCACGCUGACACGUAGGUGAAGUGAUUUACUCAUGGAGCUGAAGUCAGUCGAAGAUACCAGCUGGCUGCAACUGUUUAUUAAAAACACAGCACUGUGCAAACACGAAAGUGGACGUAUACGGUGUGACGCCUGCCCGGUGCCGGAAGGUUAAUUGAUGGGGUCAGCGCAAGCGAAGCUCCUGAUCGAAGCCCCGGUAAACGGCGGCCGUAACUAUAACGGUCCUAAGGUAGCGAAAUUCCUUGUCGGGUAAGUUCCGACCUGCACGAAUGGCGUAAUGAUGGCCAGGCUGUCUCCACCCGAGACUCAGUGAAAUUGAACUCGCUGUGAAGAUGCAGUGUACCCGCGGCAAGACGGAAAGACCCCGUGAACCUUUACUAUAGCUUGACACUGAACAUUGAGCCUUGAUGUGUAGGAUAGGUGGGAGGCUUUGAAGUGUGGACGCCAGUCUGCAUGGAGCCGACCUUGAAAUACCACCCUUUAAUGUUUGAUGUUCUAACGUGGACCCGUUACCCGGGUUGCGGACAGUGUCUGGUGGGUAGUUUGACUGGGGCGGUCUCCUCCUAAAGAGUAACGGAGGAGCACGAAGGUUGGCUAAUCCUGGUCGGACAUCAGGAGGUUAGUGCAAUGGCAUAAGCCAGCUUGACUGCGAGCGUGACGGCGCGAGCAGGUGCGAAAGCAGGUCAUAGUGAUCCGGUGGUUCUGAAUGGAAGGGCCAUCGCUCAACGGAUAAAAGGUACUCCGGGGAUAACAGGCUGAUACCGCCCAAGAGUUCAUAUCGACGGCGGUGUUUGGCACCUCGAUGUCGGCUCAUCACAUCCUGGGGCUGAAGUAGGUCCCAAGGGUAUGGCUGUUCGCCAUUUAAAGUGGUACGCGAGCUGGGUUUAGAACGUCGUGAGACAGUUCGGUCCCUAUCUGCCGUGGGCGCUGGAGAACUGAGGGGGGCUGCUCCUAGUACGAGAGGACCGGAGUGGACGCAUCACUGGUGUUCGGGUUGUCAUGCCAAUGGCACUGCCCGGUAGCUAAAUGCGGAAGAGAUAAGUGCUGAAAGCAUCUAAGCACGAAACUUGCCCCGAGAUGAGUUCUCCCUGAGACUUUAGGUCUCCUGAAGGAACGUUGAAGACGACGACGUUGAUAGGCCGGGUGUGUAAGCGCAGCGAUGCGUUGAGCUAACCGGUACUAAUGAACCGUGAGGCUUAACCUU